rnacentral:rRNA from 1 species
GACAGAGGGUGCAAACGUUGUUCGGAAUUACUGGGCGUAAAGCGCGUGUAGGCGGCACUACAAGUCGGAUGUGAAAUCCCCGCGGCUUAACCGUGGAAGUGCACCCCGAAACGUGUAGAGCUAGAGUCCCGGAGAGGAUGGUGGAAUACUUGGUGUAGAGGUGAAAUUCGUAGAUAUCAAGUGGAACACCGGUGGCGAAGGCGGCCAUCUGGACGGUGACUGACGCUGAGACGCGAAAGCGUGGGUAGCAAACAGG